AUUUCAUCUUUGAUAAAAGGAAAGUUGUUGGAAAAGCUGCUGCUUCCUAUUAUAACGAUUUUUUUUUUCGUCCUUAAAUAAAUUUGUUUGUUCCGAGUUUGAUUUAUUUAGACGUGAUAUAGUUGACAAAAGUAAAAGUAUGGGUUGACUUGAAUAUUAACCUUUCCAAUCCACUUCCUUGAAGUGAUGUGAUUAGUAUAAAAGUCUUAUUAUAUAUUGAUGAUUAAAGAACUAUUUUUUAGAGAUGAAUAUCAGAUUUAUUUAGGAUUUAUCUAUUGAUUUAAGCAAGUUAUCCUGUUGUUAUAAUAGCCCUUGAUAAAUCACGAUCGAGAGAGCUAGACGAUAAUCUCAAACGAAUGUUGUGAAUUCCUUGACUCCAGGGUUCUUUCAUGGCUUCAAUGCUACUAUGUUUGCUUUCGGGGCUACUGGUAGUGGAAAAGCUUAUAACAUAUGCAGGCCUUGGCCAAGUCCAUUCUGUGAAUGGUUAAAAUGCCUUAGGCCUUGUGCACAAGUUUGUCUAUAUGCCAAAGUAGAGGUUUCAGAGCUGAGAUUUUCAUAGUUUGAGGUAUGUUAAACGUGAUGUAACAAAAGGAAUUUCGAUAUUUGAUGACAAAUAUGGGGAGAUUGAAGCGACUAAUUAAGGAGCAGAUCUAUUUUUCCAUGUAUAGAAUUCAUGUUUGGGGAAUUGUGAGAGGAAGGCAUGGACCCAUGGUGGUUGCAGUUUACAGAGUUAGUAAUGAUGGUUGUGGGGUUGUGUUUGAUGGGAAAACUGAACCUCAUAGACUACCAGGUUGUUGAUUUCUGCAGAUUUUGAAUCAUUAAUUUGCAGGUAAUGAAGGCAUUGGUCUCCAAGAGGGUGCUAAGAUAGUAAACCAAUGCUUAUUUCCUUUGUCAAAUGUAACUUACAUAACACCAAAUCUGAAGUACCUUGAUGGUUGCUUGAUCAUUUUGUGACUCUCUUUUUUUACCCAAUAUUGAGAUUUUAUUCAAUGUUCACUUUGUUCCAUGAACAGAAUCCUAGAGAGCACCAAGAAUCUCUUCACAUUGUUAAUUAAACUUGGCUGCUCAUAUUUUAAUGUUGUUUCUUCCAUCAUCUCAAAAGCUAGAAACUUUAUAUGAAAGCAAAACUGCAAGCGUGGCAAUCCCAAAUUAAGAGUGAAGAAAGAAUGGGACGACCAUUUAUGAAAUCGAAAAUUCUGCAAAAGACAGGUGGCGGUAGACCUGAGAAGGAAAAACAAACGCCCACCGUGGGGCUCGAACCCACGACCACAAGGUUAAGAGCCUUGCGCUCUACCGACUGAGCUAGACGGGCUUUGCUUGUGAUGCACUUCUACAGCCCAAUACUUAUCCCGUUUAGUUACCAUGAAAAGGAGCCAUACAAUAAGGAGAGCUAAAAACCUAUAUAAAUUAAUGCAUGUAAAUCAACCAUGAGGUAUGAUAUAGUGUUUUCUUAUCUCAUAUCUUAACAAUAUGAUCGGAGGUUCAAUCUUACUCAUGGAAAAAGAGCACAUUUCAUGGUC